rnacentral:rRNA from 1 species
UACGUAGGGCGCAAGCGUUGUCCGGAAUUAUUGGGCGUAAAGAGCUCGUAGGCGGUUUGUCGCGUCUGGUGUGAAAACUCGAGGCUCAACCUCGAGCUUGCAUCGGGUACGGGCAGACUAGAGUGCGGUAGGGGAGACUGGAAUUCCUGGUGUAGCGGUGGAAUGCGCAGAUAUCAGGAGGAACACCGAUGGCGAAGGCAGGUCUCUGGGCCGCAACUGACGCUGAGGAGCGAAAGACAUGGGGAGCGAACAGG